AUAUAUUAAUAUUUACUAAUGAGUAUAUAUUUAUAUUUAUUUAUAUAUAAGUUUUUAAUUUUGUGAGAGAUAGUUGGAUAAGGACUCACAGUCAUAGAAUUUUGGUGCGAAAUUUUGUUGCUCAAAUCUCAUGGAUGGGCGAGCUGUCCGAGAAAAAGGAAGAAGAUCGAGCAAUUAACUUGCUGGCUUGAAAAAAAUUUUUCUUAUAAAAACAUGCCGUCUCCUCGGGGAAAUAUUUAAUUUAGCUUUGACCUACUGAGAGCUAAACUUCGGACAUGUGCAUCGGGAGCUUUUAGCAGUUUCUUAAGGGGAGGGGGGAAGACCACAAAAACAUAAAAAUCGGUAACCAAAAGCGCCAGUUAAGGAUCAAUGUUUGAGUGAUCCUUGUUUCUUUUCUGUUAAAAAGUAAUGACAGAUCAUGAAAGCUGGAUCGUUGUUGUUUGCUUUUUCUCCUUUACGUGUUGUGUCUUUAAGGAUGAUCACUAUCAUCAUGAGACCAAUUAUUUUAUUGGAAUAAUUUUCGUUCAUUCUUUAAAAAGAAAAUGUGAGUUCACAUUCUUUUUAAAGAAAAUGUAAUUUUCGUUCAUUUGCGUUCAUUCUUUAAAAAGAAAAUGUUUGUACUUCA